UGUUGCGUGAUUACGCCAACGGGGCAAGUAGACAUCUGUGCUGGGAUCAAGUUUAUGAUGAGUCGAGCGUGAGACAGAUUGGCUUUCUUCCUCGGGCAAUUCUCUGGCCAAGCCCAGCGGCGCCUUCAGCAGCUACAAGAGUCGAAAGGUCUCGUGAAUUUAGUUCUUUUUGGCUGUUGUUCUAGCGGAUGUGCUACGCGCCAGCUAAUCAGCCUGGGUUCAUCCUACACACG